AUGGAGGGCACCAAUGGAGAAGAAGCGGCUAGUUCUCCAAAUACUCGGACAGUGGCCAUGGACGCCAGGCUGAUGGUGGCCACAGACCGUGGCGAUGUCAAGAAGUUGAAGGAGGCCUUAAACAAGGAGGAUGCCAUGGCGAUGGUUGUGGUGACGGCGACGAGCAAGAAGCCUUCCUUGGAGGACCAACCCCCUGCUGGUAACGUUAUCAAUCCCCUGCUGCUAGCAUCGGCGCGCGUGGGCUCCUGGGAGGCGCUGAAUCUCCUUCUUAAAAGGGAAGACGCAAAAGAUCCUCCAAUGAUGAUUCCUACUCAAGAAUUUCUUGAGUUUCUAGCCCAGGGAAGAAUCGCGGCGUCAGCUGCUCGUGAUGUAGAAAAGGGUGUCGUCCACCAGCCUGCUUUACUUGCAGCUGGAGCACUUCUCAAGGGUGUCACUCCUGAUGGGGAUACCGCACUACACGCCGUCGCCAGCAAUGGUGAUGACCAGCAUUUCUUGAAGUACGCAAGCAUCAUCUAUGACAAGGACAUGUGCCUUCUGUUUGAGAAGAACCACAAGGGCGACACACCCUUGCAUCUGUUUUUCAUCUCAUUGAUCUAG
rnacentral:rRNA from 1 species